rnacentral:rRNA from 1 species
UACGUAGGGGGCAAGCGUUGUCCGGAUUUAUUGGGCGUAAAGAGCGUGUAGGCGGUUAGGUAGGUCCGUUGUGAAAACUCGAGGCUCAACCUCGAGACGCCGAUGGAAACCAUCUGACUAGAGUCCGGAAGAGGAGAGUGGAAUUCCUGGUGUAGCGGUGAAAUGCGCAGAUAUCAGGAGGAACACCGGUGGCGAAGGCGGAUCUCUGGGCCUUACCUGACGCUCAGGCGCGAAAGCUAGGGGAGCGAACAGG